CCUACGGGAGGCAGCAGGGGGGAAUUUUCCGCAAUGGGCGAAAGCCUGACGGAGCAAUACCGCGUGAGGGAAGAAUGCCUACGGGUUGUAAACCUCUUUUAUCAGGGAGGAACAAAAUGACGUGUACCUGAUGAAUAAGCAUCGGCUAACUCUGUGCCAGCAGCCGCGGUAAGACAGAGGAUGCAAGUGUUAUCCGGAAUUACUGGGCGUAAAGCGUCUGUAGGUUGUUGAACAAGUCAACUGUUAAAUCUUGAAGCUCAACUUCAAAAUCGCAGUCGAAACUGUUUGACUAGAGUAUAGUAGAGGUAAAGGGAAUUUCCAGUGGAGCGGUGAAAUGCGUAGAUAUUGGAAAGAACACCGAUGGCGAAAGCACUUUACUGGGCUAUUACUGACACUCAGAGACGACAGCUAGGGUAGCAAAUGGGAUUAGAUACCCCAGUAGUCCUAGCCGUAAACUAUGGAUACUAGAUGUUGAACAGAUCGACCUGUGCAGUAUUAAAAGCUAAACGCGUUAAGUAUCCCGCCUGGGAAGUAUGCUGCAGGAGUGAAACUNAAAGGAAUUGACGGNUGAGAGNGCGAGAGACACGAGGAGAG
rnacentral:rRNA from 1 species